CCCGACCCCCUCCCGUUUCCUCCCACCCCUCACGCCGCGCCACCCUGCCUCCUCUCCUCCCGUGGCCGUCGACCACCCUCCCCGCCCCGCGUCUUCGCUCAGUCGCCGACUCGCUCCCCGCCAGCCAUCCUCCCUACCCGCCGCCGCCACCAUCCUCCCCGUCCGCCGCCGCCGCCACCAUCCUCCCAGUCCGUCGUCGCCACGCCAUCCCUGCCACCUACCCGACGGCACUGUGAAGGACGCGACCAAAGAGGGAGGGCGUCGCCGGUGUGGUGGAGGGUGAAGGAGGUGCACGUGGCAAGGUUGUCGUGCCUCCCUGCGGAUCCGUGCUGGCCGGCGACGAGGUGGCCACCAGGGUGCAGCACGCUCCAUACUACGACGUCAACUGCCACCACCGGGCUCCCCCGAAGAUUGGUUGGAUAGAGAUGGCUCGAAGGUUUUGUGGGUAGAAUGUGAGAUAUCUCAAUUAAAGUUCCGUGAAGAAAGAUCCCAAAUGAUGGCAUGUUGUGAUGCUACUCGAUGGCUUGUUGGCUAAAUUGAUGGAAGGAUAAUGAAUUAAGGUGAUUAACCCCGGUAGGC